UCGUAACAAGGUUUCCGUAGGUGAACCUGCGGAAGGAUCAUUACAGUGCCGCCGGGGCGCGCCCCCUAAACCCGGGCGCGUCCCGCAACCUGGCCACACUUGUCUACCGAACCGCGUUGCUUCGGCGGGACCGUGCUCCCCUGCACCGCCCACACUCCGGGCGAGCGCCCGCCGGAGGACUCUCUCGAACCCUUUGCUGAUCAGUGACAGUCUGAGUGAAUCUUUAAUCAGUUAAAACUUUCAACAACGGAUCUCUUGGUUCCAGCAUCGAUGAAGAACGCAGCGAAAUGCGAUAAGUAAUGUGAAUUGCAGAAUUCCGUGAAUCAUCGAAUCUUUGAACGCACAUUGCGCCCUCUGGUAUUCCGGGGGGCAUGCCUGUCCGAGCGUCAUUGCAACCCUCAAGCCCGGCUUGCGUGAUGGGCGCCCGUCCCCCCCCGGGGGACGCGCCCGAAAGGCAGUGGCGGCGUCGCGGUUAUCCGAUUUGCCUGAGCGUAUGGGGCUUCUGUCAUCACGCAACUGGCUGGGACCGGCGCCGGCCGAACUCUUCAACUCUUUUUUACCAAGGUUGACCUCGGAUCAGGUAGGGAUACCCGCUGAACCUAAGCAUAUCA
rnacentral:misc_RNA from 1 species